rnacentral:rRNA from 1 species
UACAGAGGGUGCGAGCGUUAAUCGGAAUUACUGGGCGUAAAGCGCGUGUAGGCGGCCAUACAGGUCCGUUGUGAAAACUCGAGGCUUAACCUCGAGACGUCGAUGGAAACCGUAUGGCUAGAGUCCGGAAGAGGAGAGUGGAAUUCCUGGUGUAGCGGUGAAAUGCGCAGAUAUCAGGAAGAACACCCGUGGCGAAGGCGGCUCUCUGGGACGGUACUGACGCUGAGACGCGAAAGCGUGGGGAGCGAACAGG